AAGGGCCUUAAGAUUGUUUAAUUCAAACAAGGGAAGGAAAGGUAGAAAAAAGGCUAUGUGGGUAAUAGUAAAGGCUCCUCGACAACAAGAUGCCAAACAAUGUGGUUAUUAUGUGAUGCGAUUUAUGAGACAAAUUGUUGAAGAAGUUGAAAUUAUCGAAAGAGAUUCACUACCAUCUAUAUUCACACAAGCAGAGUAUUCUCGAGAAGAAAUUGAUGAGGUGCGAUCGGAGUUGGCAGAAUGUAUACAAGAUCAUAUUUAUGAGUAGGUGCGUUCCCUCACCCCUUCAUAUUUGUUAGAUUAUGCUGAACUCUUAAAAUUUUCAUUAAGGGUGAUUGUUCUCCAUUUGAAAAGCUUAGAAUGACUAUUUUUUCAAUCUUAUUUGAUUCA